rnacentral:rRNA from 1 species
AACGAACGCUGGCGGCAUGCCUAACACAUGCAAGUCGAACGAGACCUUCGGGUCUAGUGGCGCACGGGUGCGUAACGCGUGGGAACCUGCCCUUAGGUUCGGAAUAACUCCCCGAAAGGGGUGCUAAUACCGGAUAAUGUCUUCGGACCAAAGAUUUAUCGCCUUUGGAUGGGCCCGCGUUGGAUUAGCUAGUUGGUAGGGUAAAAGCCUACCAAGGCGACGAUCCAUAGCUGGUCUGAGAGGAUGAUCAGCCACACUGGGACGGAGACACGGCCCAGACUCCUACGGGAGGCAGCAGUGGGUAAUAUUGGACAAUGGGCGAAAGCCUGAUCCAGCAAUGCCGCGUGAGUGAUGAAGGCCUUAGGGUUGUAAAGCUCUUUUACCCGGGAUGAUAAUGACAGUACCGGGAGAAUAAGCUCCGGCUAACUCCGUG